UCAGACUGUGUGCUCAUCCAAUCGCUGAAGAGCUCCAGCAUGGACCAAACAGGAGGUACAGGAUCUUAUCGCUGUAUAGGGAGAUGAAUCCGUGCUGGCAGAACUUCAUUUGAAAAGAUGAAAUGCUAAAUAUUUGAAAAAAUCUCCAAUGGCAUGAAGGACAGAGGCUAUAACAGGGACCCGCAGCAGUGCCGUGUGAAAAUUAAGGAGCUCAGGCAAGCCUAUCAAAAAACCAGAGAGGCAAACAG